AAUUAAACUUGAGGGACCUGUCGGAAAUUCGGCAGAACCUCCCCUAAUUUACGGACAUUGAGUCCAGGACCUCCUAGAAAAAUACUUCAAAUAUUCAACAAUUCAAACAACGGGAGCCGGGUCCCCAAACUUCACUAUUUCCCAACUCCGCCAUAACACAUAAUAUGAGGCAGGCAAACUGACAGACAAUUAUUUUUGACUCAUAAAUGUUAAAUACUCAACACAAAACAAUAAGCACAAUUCUAAAUCAAAGGAUUUCCAAGAUCAACGGGCCAGAGAAAAUUACCGAGACGCUCGAUCGCUCGGUCGACUCGCCUCCGGCCGCCGGAGUUCGAUCGACGAUCCGGACACAUCAUCGGACUCACAACGAAGCGCUGAUGAAAAUUCCCACUUUCGAUUUUCCGAUCUGACACCCGAUCCCCACCUCUCAGCCGUCGAUUCGCAAACGGAGCCCGAUCGCCAUGAAACCGGUGCCAUUGCGAAGCUUGAGCUGAGGAGAGUCGGAAUACGUCCUCCGAUCGUCCAUCCUCCGCCGAACCUCGUCGGAAAAGCUAGAAAAUGCAGCUACCAUCACUUCGCCGGAACUCCCUCCUCCGGCCACCAAAACUGCUGCCACACUUCGCGCGAUUCCGUUGCCAACUCUGCUGCCAGCCGCGCUCCGCCGGUCGUCCUCGGAAGGACACCGAUGCCGCAACACUCUCUUCCUGUCGCCCGCACCCUCUCUCUUCUUCCUUUCUUCUAUAUCGACUUUUGACCCCUGAACUUUUCUUUAUUACAAUUUGGUCCCUCAACUUUCUUAAUUACUUACAAUUUCAUCCUGCAGAAUUUCCAAAUAACCCCCAAACUUUUCUUUAGCCUUUCAAUUAAGCCCCUAUAAUUUGGGCCAAAUUAGAAUUAUUGAAAAUGCACAAUUAUAAAAAAUAUCCUAACUGACAUAUUUAUUUACAAAAAUACCAAACUCAUAAAUUUCCAUUAAAACCCUAUAUUAAUGAAAUUAUACUUUUAAUCCUCAUCCAAAAAUAAUUCUCCAAUUAAGUCCUACACAUAAUUAAAUUAAAUAAUCAAUUUACUAAUUAUUUUCCAACUUAAAUUUUAAUACCACUAGUUAAUUAAAAUACCAAUUUCUCCAAAAUUCUUUUAUAAAAAUGUCCUUUCCAGUAUAUAAUUUUAUUUAUACAUAUACAUAUACAUUGGGAAAAAAAUUAGAAUAACCAAAAAUAUAUUCUACCCUUCAAAUAAUUUACUUAAUUAAUUUCUUAAAGAUUCAACAAAUUGGGUAUAGAAAAAUAACUCAUUUAAUUGUCUAAUAUUAAAAUUCAAAAUUUGCAUUUAAAUCAUUCCAAUUAAACCAAAUAAAGAUAAAAUAAAUUAAUUUAAAUAAAUACUCAUUAUUAAAUAUAUAAAAAUUUCGGGUAUUACAAAUAUCAGUAAUAAUAAAAUUAAGAAUAAUAAUAAUAAUAAUAAUAAUAAUAAUAAUAAUAAUAACAAUAACAAUAAUAAUAAUAAUAAGAAUAAGAAUAAGAAUAAGAAUAAGAAUAAUAAUAAUAAUAAUAAUAAUAAUAAUAAUAAGAAUAAGAAUAAGAACAAUAAUAAUAAUAAUAAUAAUAGUAAUAAUAAUAAUAAUAAUAAUAAUAAUAAUAAAAGUAAUAAUAAUAAUAAAAUAAUAAUAAUCAAAGUAAAAGUAAUAAUAAUAAUAAUAAUGAUAAUAAUAAUAAUAAUAAUAGUAAGAAUAAUAAUAAUAAUAAUAAUAAUAAUUAAUAAUAAUAAUAAUAGUAAUAAUAAUAAUAAAAUUUUUAUUCUUAUCUUACGAUUUUUAAGGUUUUAUUUUAAUCAAAGUUGAAAUGGUAAAUUGUUAAUAAUGGCGAUGUGAUAAUAAUAAUAAUAAUAAUAACCAUAAAAAUAAGAAUAAAAUAUCUUACAAUCUUUAAAGUUUCAUUAUUAUUAUUAUUACUCUUAUUAUUAUUAUUAUUAUUAUUUUAUUGUUAUUUAUUAUUGUUGUUAUUCUUAUUAUUAUUAUUACUGUUAUUGUUAUUAUUAUUAUUAUUAUUACUGUUAUUGUUAUUAUUAUUAUUAUUAUUGUUGUUAUUCUUGUUAUUAUUAUUAUUAUUAUUAUUUCAACUUUGAUUAAAUGAAAUUUUAAAGAUUGUAAGAUAAGAAUAAAAAUAUUAUUAUUAUUAUUAUUAUUAAUAUUAUUAUUAUUACUGAUGUUAUUAUUAUUGUUAUUGUUAUUAUCAUUAUUAUUAUCACAUCCUCACUAUUAAGAGUUUAUCAUUUGAACUUUGAUUAAAAUGAAGUCUUUGUAAGAUAAGAAUAAAAAUAUCUACCACUAAUGAAAUUUAGAACAUGUAUAACAUUAAUUGAUUGGUAUGCUUAACUUUUUUUCUAUUGGUUGUUAUAUUCUUAUUAUGGUACUAUAUGUACAGUAGUUAACUUACAAAUAUUUUAUAUAUGUCAACUGUCAAAUUAAGAAUAUGGAAUAUCCCAAUUAAAGUUAAAGUCAUAAUUAUACUGCCACUUAAAGAUAGAAUAAAAUCUUAAAAUUUUUAAAAAUAAAUAUAUUUUUCCAUUUCAGCUAGAUUUCAAAAAUUAGAAGGUAAUUAAAUUGUACAAUUAAUUAAUUAUAAUUAUAAUUAUGACCUUGUAUAUAAAAAGAAAAUAAAAAGAAGGCAAUCUUAAAACUCUCUGUUCCAGAAGUGGAAAUAGAAAGGGGGCAACAGUACCGUCCGAUCUCCGAUAAUUGCGGUAGAUCCGGCGGUCCAGCAAAUUGGUUACCUAGGACGCGGUUUUAUGGGCUCCACAUAUCAGAUUUCACAGUCAANNNUAUCAGAUUUCACAGUCAAACACAAGUCUUUAAUUCUUUUUAAUAUAAUGAAUAUAUUUUCCUAAUUCAACUUUCAAUUUCUAAUUACAAUUGAUUAAUUAAUAAUCUUUUUAUUUUAUAAAUGUAUUUUCCGGAGCUUCCUUAUAAAGCUUAUCCCACUUAAUUCUUUUUUAAAAUAUGCCAUUUAAACUUUCUAUUACUGGUUAAAAAUCUCAUGAAUUUAUUUUAUACUAUGAAUUUAUUUUGAUUAUAUCACUGCCUUAUACUCUAAAAAAAUAAAUAUAAUAAAUUUAAGAAUUUCGAAUUUGUAAGAUUUAGUUACAUUAAUUUGAAAAAAAAAAAAGGAAUAAUAUUAAAUGUGACAUAUUUUUACAAGUAUGUGACAACUUUUUAAUAAGACUUUCAUGUAAAAAUUCAAAAUACUCCCAUAAAGUUACAUCUGUCUCUUCACAACUAAGGGUAAAAUAAAUAUUUAUUCUAACUUUCAAUUGUUCCAAAAAGAAAAAGGAAUUAGAAUGAAUUCUUUAAUCAUAAAAUAUGGUGUGCUUUGUUAUUAUAUCACUAGGCAGUGGACACCUAAUAAGUAAUUUAUGCCAACUCAGGCAUGGUAUGCUGGAAUACCAAUCAUGCCUUGCAUGUUGUGGGUCCACCAUAUAUCAUUUUUACAGCUUAAAAGGGUAGUAGGUCAUUUAAUUAUUGGAUAUGAUUUUUCUAUUUGCAUGCCAUGUGUUUUUAACAGAAGCAAUCAAAAUGAAAAAUGCUUCCAAAUUAGGAGAAGGUUAACAAAAGGGAAGGUGAGUCAAUCAAGGCCAAGUCCAUAUCUCCCCUUCCUAUUGGCAUCUAAUUCAACAUCUAGAGAACCAUUUUCAACUUUCAGAAAAACCAGCAUUCAAACAUGACAUGCCUACUCAUACAUGGCUGAAAUUUUGUAACAUUUUUACUUACCUGGAAUACCCGACCUCUGUAGCCAAGCACAACUCUGGGAGAUCAAGCAUUCUCUGUCUGAAUUUGGACAUCUGGAGGGAAAAAAUUAUUGCCCAAUCAGAUAAGAACCCAAGAAGUCCUC
rnacentral:lncRNA from 1 species